UGUCUUCUACAUUUAGCAAAUCCCUGUUUGCUGUCUAUAGGGUCUGGUGCCAUUCUAUGUCAACGCAACAGCAGGAACCACAGUCUAUGGAGCCUUUGACACUCUGAAUGAAAUAGCAGACAUAUGUGAACACCAUGGCCUGUGGAUGCAUGUGGAUGCUGCUUGGGGUGGAGGCUUGCUUCUGUCCAACAAACAUCGUGUGAAACUGCAAGGAAUUGAAAGAGCCCAUUCUGUGACCUGGAACCCGCACAAGAUGAUGGGCGUCCCACUGCAAUGCUCAACCAUUCUAGUGAAGAGGAAGGUGAGCUGAGCUGG